UCCACUUCUCAUUCUAUUAUUCACGCAUCAUCAUUAUAAGUGUUCUUUAUUGUAACGUCUGCUCUUUUCCAAGUUGGUAGAAUGUUUUGAAGUAAGUAGAUUUGGCCUCUGUUGCACAGCAAUUUUAGUAAUUUAAGCUUUGUCUGCAAUUACAGUAAAAAAGUGGAGGAUGCAAUUAGAAGAUAGAUUUUGCAUUAACUAAGAGGUUUAGUGACGC
ensembl:ncRNA F38B6.15 ncRNA